rnacentral:rRNA from 1 species
UACGGAGGAUCCAAGCGUUAUCCGGAAUCAUUGGGUUUAAAGGGUCCGUAGGCGGUUUUGUAAGUCAGUGGUGAAAGCCCAUCGCUCAACGGUGGAACGGCCAUUGAUACUGCAAGACUUGAAUUAUUGGGAAGUAACUAGAAUAUGUAGUGUAGCGGUGAAGCGCUUAGAGAUUACAUGGAAUACCAAUUGCGAAGGCAGGUUACUACUAAUGGAUUGACGCUGAUGGACGAAAGCGUGGGUAGCGAACAGG